rnacentral:rRNA from 1 species
GACGAACGCUGGCGGCGUGCUUAACACAUGCAAGUCGAACGGAAAGGCCCUGCUUUUGUGGGGUGCUCGAGUGGCGAACGGGUGAGUAACACGUGAGUAACCUGCCCUUGACUUUGGGAUAACUUCAGGAAACUGGGGCUAAUACCGGAUAGGAGCUCCUGCUGCAUGGUGGGGGUUGGAAAGUUUCGGCGGUUGGGGAUGGACUCGCGGCUUAUCAGCUUGUUGGUGGGGUAGUGGCUUACCAAGGCUUUGACGGGUAGCCGGCCUGAGAGGGUGACCGGCCACAUGGGGACUGGGAGAGGGCCCAGACCCCUACGGGAGGCAGCAGUGGGGAAUAUGACACAAGGGGCGGAAGCCUGAGGCAGCAACGCCGGGUGGGGGAUGACGGCCUUCGGGUUGUAAACCGCUUUCGCCGGGGACGAAGCGUGAGUGACGGUAAUGGGGAAAGAAGCACCGGCUAACUACGU